rnacentral:snoRNA from 1 species
CCCCUCCAAGGCCUCAGCCAUUAGAUGCAAACAUUGGUCUGAGCGGUUACAAAUUGAGGAAAAACACAUUUGCAACUGACUUCAAUUCCUGCCUGACACGCGAGCUAGUUUCAAACAAAC